rnacentral:rRNA from 1 species
AUUGAACGCUGGCGGCAUGCCUUACACAUGCAAGUCGAACGGCAGCACGGGUGCUUGCACCUGGUGGCGAGUGGCGAACGGGUGAGUAAUACAUCGGAACGUACCUUAUCGUGGGGGAUAACGCAGCGAAAGCUGUGCUAAUACCGCAUACGCCCUGAGGGGGAAAGCGGGGGAUCGCAAGACCUCGCGCGAUUAGAGCGGCCGAUGCCUGAUUAGCUUGUUGGUGGGGUAAAAGCCCACCAAGGCGACGAUCAGUAGCUGGCCUGAGAGGACGAUCAGCCACACUGGGACUGAGACACGGCCCAGACUCCUACGGGAGGCAGCGGUGGGGAAUUUUGGACAAUGGGGGCAACCCUGAUCCAGCAAUGCCGCGUGAGUGAAGAAGGCCUUCGGGUUGUAGAGCUCUUUUGUCAGGGAAGAAACACCGGCUCUAACACAGUCCGGGAAUGACGGUACCUGAAGAAUAAGCACCGGCUAACUACGUGCCAGCCGCCGCCGUAA